CUCCCGGUAGCUCAAUGGAAAGAGCGGCAGCCUACGAAGCUGCGUCAUGUGGAGGUUCGAAUCCUUCCCGGGAGA
rnacentral:tRNA from 2 species